UACGUAGGGACCAAGCGUUGUUCGGAUUUACUGGGCGUAAAGGGCGCGUAGGCGGCAUGACAAGUCACUUGUGAAAUCUCUGGGCUUAACUCAGAACGGCCAAGUGAUACUGUCGCGCUAGAGUGCAGAAAGGGCAAUCGGAAUUCUUGGUGUAGCGGUGAAAUGCGUAGAUAUCAAGAGGAAUACCUGAGGCGAAGGCGGGUUGCUAGGCUGACACUGACGCUGAUGCGCGAAAGCUAGGGUAGCAAACGGG
rnacentral:rRNA from 1 species